UACAGAGGGCCCAAGCGUUGUUCGGAUUCACUGGGCGUAAAGGGUGCGUAGGUGGCCAGGUAAGUUCGGUGUGAAAGCUCGGAGCUUAACUCCGAAAUGGCAUUGAAUACUAUCUGGCUAGAGGGUCGGAGGGGAGACUGGAAUUCUCGGUGUAGCAGUGAAAUGCGUAGAUAUCGUAAGGAAGACCAGUGGCGAAGGCGGGUCUCUGGACAGUUCCUGACGCUGAGGCACGAAGGUCAGGGGAGCAAACGGG
rnacentral:rRNA from 1 species